UAGAGUUUGAUCCUGGCUCAGGAUGAACGCUAGCUACAGGCUUAACACAUGCAAGUCGAGGGGAAACGGCAUUGAGUGCUUGCACUCUUUGGACGUCGACCGGCGCACGGGUGAGUAACGCGUAUCCAACCUUCCCAUUACUGUGGGAUAACCUGCCGAAAGGCCGACUAAUACCGCAUAGUCUUCGAUGACGGCAUCAGAUUUGAAGUAAAGAUUUAUCGGUAAUGGAUGGGGAUGCGUCUGAUUAGCUUGUUGGCGGGGUAACGGCCCACCAAGGCGACGAUCAGUAGGGGUUCUGAGAGGAAGGUCCCCCACAUUGGAACUGAGACACGGUCCAAACUCCUACGGGAGGCAGCAGUGAGGAAUAUUGGUCAAUGGACGGAAGUCUGAACCAGCCAAGUAGCGUGCAGGAUGACGGCCCUAUGGGUUGUAAACUGCUUUUGUAUGGGGAUAAAGUCAAUCACGCGUGAUUGUUUGCAGGUACCAUACGAAUAAGGACCGGCUAAUUCCGUGCCAGCAGCCGCGGUAAUACGGAAGGUCCAGGCGUUAUCCGGAUUUAUUGGGUUUAAAGGGAGCGUAGGCUGGAUAUUAAGUGUGUUGUGAAAUGUAGACGCUCAACGUCUGACUUGCAGCGCAUACUGGUUUCCUUGAGUACGCACAACGUUGGCGGAAUUCGUCGUGUAGCGGUGAAAUGCUUAGAUAUGACGAAGAACUCCGAUUGCGAAGGCAGCUGACGGGAGCGCAACUGACGCUUAAGCUCGAAGGUGCGGGUAUCAAACAGGAUUAGAUACCCUGGUAGUCCGCACAGU
rnacentral:rRNA from 1 species